UAUAUUUUAGUGUAAGAUGCACCAUAGUUUUUGAUACUAUUAGAUAUAGUUUAAUUCUAUAAAAUAUAA
rnacentral:tRNA from 3 species